UUAUUCUCCCUUGGGAUACACCU
rnacentral:misc_RNA from 1 species